rnacentral:rRNA from 1 species
UAACACAUGCAAGUCGAACGGUAGCACAGAGGAGCUUGCUCCUUGGGUGACGAGUGGCGGACGGGUGAGUAAUGUCUGGGAAACUGCCCGAUGGAGGGGGAUAACUACUGGAAACGGUAGCUAAUACCGCAUAACGUCGCAAGACCAAAGAGGGGGACCUUCGGGCCUCUUGCCAUCGGAUGUGCCCAGAUGGGAUUAGCUAGUAGGUGGGGUAACGGCUCACCUAGGCGACGAUCCCUAGCUGGUCUGAGAGGAUGACCAGCCACACUGGAACUGAGACACGGUCCAGACUCCUACGGGAGGCAGCAGUGGGGAAUAUUGCACAAUGGGCGCAAGCCUGAUGCAGCCAUGCCGCGUGUAUGAAGAAGGCCUUCGGGUUGUAAAGUACUUUCAGCGAGGAGGAAGGUGUUGAGGUUAAUAACCUCAGCAAUUGACGUUACUCGCAGAAGAAGCACCGGCUAACUCCGUGCCAGCAGCCGCGGUAGUACGGAGGGUGCAAGCGUUAAUCGGAAUUACUGGGCGUAAAGCGCACGCAGGCGGUCUGUCAAGUCGGAUGUGGAAUCCCCGGGCUCAACCUGGGAACUGCAUCCGAAACUGGCAGGCUAGAGUCUUGUAGAGGGGGGUAGAAUUCCAGGUGUAGCGGUGAAAUGCGUAGAGACCUGGAGGAAUACCGGUGGCGAAGGCGGCCCCCUGGACAAAGACUGACGCUCAGGUGCGAAAGCGUGGGGAGCAAACAGGAUUAGAUACCCUGGUAGUCCACGCCGUAAACGAUGUCGACUUGGAGGUUGUGCCCUUGAGGCGUGGCUUCCGGAGCUAACGCGUUAAGUCGACCGCCUGGGGAGUACGGCCGCAAGGUUAAAACUCAAAUGAAUUGACGGGGCCCGCACAAGCGGUGGAGCAUGUGGUUUAAUUCGAUGCAACGCGAAGAACCUUACCUACUCUUGGCAUCCACGGAACUUGCCAGAGAUGGCUUGGUGCCUUCGGGAACCGUGAGACAGGUGCUGCAUGGCUGUCGUCAGCUCGUGUUGUGAAAUGUUGGGUUAAGUCCCGCAACGAGCGCAACCCUUAUCCUUUGUUGCCAGCGGUUAGGCCGGGAACUCAAAGGAGACUGCCAGUGAUAAACUGGAGGAAGGUGGGGAUGACGUCAAGUCAUCAUGGCCCUUACGAGUAGGGCUACACACGUGCUACAAUGGCAUAUACAAAGAGAAGCGACCUCGCGAGAGCAAGCGGACCUCAUAAAGUAUGUCGUAGUCCGGAUUGGAGUCUGCAACUCGACUCCAUGAAGUCGGAAUCGCUAGUAAUCGUGGAUCAGAAUGCCACGGUGAAUACGUUCCCGGGCCUUGUACACACCGCCCGUCACACCAUGGGAGUGGGUUGCAAAAAAAGUAGGUAGCUUAACCUUCGGGAGGGCGCUUACCACUUUGUGAUUCAUGACUGGGGUG